CCCGACCCGCAAAACAGAGGUCUUCUCUAGCUUGCUGGUGGCAGACCAGGAAAGAUGGCUUUGAGUCAAAGAGGAAGAAAAAGAUUGCAGAUGGAUUUGUUUGAAAUGGAAAGCAGAAUCCCAGUGGAGACACAGCUACAUCAUUCCCUGAACAAACCUGUUUGGUGCUUACUGUGGGCCAGAAAAAUAAGUGAGAAGGAAGAGGAAGGUGUUUCGUUAAGCCUGACUCUGCUAAGCUACAGGGUAAAGAAAUAGAGGGAAAGGGGGAAAAUAGCUCUGGCGUCCUG
rnacentral:lncRNA from 1 species